AUCAUGGCUCGAACGAACGCUGGCGGCGUGGAUAAGACAUGCAAGUCGAACGGGACAAUAUUUGUAGCAAUACAGAUGUUGUUUAGUGGCGAACGGGUGCGUAACACGUGGGGAAUCUGCCGAGAAGUGGGGGAUAGCUCGCCGAAAGGCGAAUUAAUACCGCAUGUGAUCAGGGAAGACAUCUUUCCGACAUCAAAGCCGGGGCAACCUGGCGCUUCUUGAUGACCCCGCGGCCUAUCAGCUAGUUGGUGAGGUAACGGCCCACCAAGGCGAUGACGGGUAGCUGGUCUGAGAGGACGACCAGUCACACUGGAACUGAGACACGGUCCAGACACCUACGGGUGGCAGCAGUCGAGAAUUUUUCUCAAUGGGGGCAACCCUGAAGGAGCGACGCCGCGUGGAGGAUGAAGGCUUUCGGGUUGUAAACUCCUGUCAUUUGAGAACAAUGGCUACGCGUUAACUGCGCGGAGCUUGAUAGUAUCAGAAGAGGAAGGGACGGCUAACUCUGUGCCAGCAGCCGCGGUAAUACAGAGGUCCCAAGCGUUGUUCGGAUUCAUUGGGCGUAAAGGGUGCGUAGGUGGCGCCGUAAGUGGGGUGUGAAAUCCCGGGGCUUAACCCCGGGACUGCAUUCCAUACUGCGGUGCUUGAGGACUGGAGAGGAGACUGGAAUUUACGGUGUAGCAGUGAAAUGCGUAGAGAUCGUAAGGAAGACAGUGGCGA
rnacentral:rRNA from 1 species